AAAAUUUGUCGGGAUUUUAAUUACUGUACAAAAUUUCAGACAAUUUGGUUUAGUUUAAGCCCCUUAACUAUUCACGCAAAGUUACAAUUUUCCCGAAAAAUCAGCUAUUUGCAUGCUUAAUUAAUGCAUUUGCCUAAUUUGCAUAUGUCAGCAAUAUGCAAAUUAGGUAAGGGCAUUAAUUAAGCAUGCGAAAGGCUGACUUUUUAGAACAAAAUGAAUAGUUAAAGGGCUUAAACUAAACCAAAUUGUCUGAAAUUUUGUACAGUAAUUAAAAACCCGACAAAUGUUCCAUCUAUUAACUCAAAAUAUGAUUACAGCUUUUAAAUUUUGUGCGCGAGCCAUUUUUAGUUUGUUGGAAAAGACACCCCCCCCCCCUGGUUCACA